CGAAAAACAUAAUUACUCACGAGCAACCACCACCACCUGCUUCCCAACGUUGCGACCGGAGUAUAAGCCAACGAGAGCCCGAGGUGCGCUUUCAAUGCCUUCGGCUAUGUCUUCGAUGUGGUUAAACAAGUUGUGGAUGCCUUCGUGCUGCUCAAGGCUGUAUUGGGAGAUCAUCCCGCAAAGAGCAACACGGCCAUGGAGUCUCAUGUUGCUUAGCACCGCUUCGAGCAUCUUCCCUCCCACGUUAUCAAAGUAGAUGUCUAUGCCAUCGGGGAAGUACCUAAUAAACAACCACACAAAUUUCUGAUUUACCAAACUUCGCGGUUUUUUGGUAGUUUUUAUGAAAUUUGUGUUGGAUACAAAAGGAUUCUUUUCUUGUAUAAGAACAUAAAUAUGUGUAUAGUGUGUUAAAUUACUAACUAUUCUUAUACGCAUUU